GCUCAACUUGAUUUGAAAUGAUUGGCUAUUCAACCGAAUACACAGUGCCAUAUUUGGGUUACUAUUAAAAGUCGAUCGUUCGGUUUGUAUUCGAGAAGACUUGGAUGAAGAGGAUUACACAAUACUGAGGUGAAAAACAUCUGUAUAAUAUGAUAAUAUAUAUUUCAGUAUUUUAAAGUAAAGGUUGUCAAAUGAACGGAACAUUUUACUGAUAUUACCUCUUAUAAACAGAACUAAUAAGCGUAUGACUUAUUCAGGGCACUUGCAAUGUAUGGGAACCAGUCUACAAGGCCACAAAAUUCCGCCAAGAAUAAACAAAGACUGAAAGAGAUUGCGGGAUGUUGUUUACGUGUGUCACUCCACACUGACUGCAAGAAACAAAGAGUGGAGAGCUAAUGCAUGGUGCUAAGUAUGGAAAGGUCUCUUGUGGAUUGGUUGUGCCAGAGACAAAUGUACAUUAUUUCCAUGUUGGGUCAGAAGUCUCAGUACACUUUGGGUGAGUGGCAGUUGGGAAGAUGGAUGACCUUCAGAUAGUUUGAGAUGAAGAAGUUAUUUUAAUUGAUUGAAAGUGAUCAACACAGAAUCAACUCCAUUAUGAAGAUAAAUUACGAGCAAGCCAGCACCUCCUUUUGUCCAACACCAGAGAGAUCUGAGUACCUAUCCUACUGUUGAAUUAAUUGGUGACCAAGAAAAGAUGACAGAGAUGGGGAAUCAAAUAUGGAUGCCAUCGUGAUCAAGAAUAUAUACACUGACUAGAAAAUAUCUGAAAAUUUAUAGAUGAACAUUCAAGCAUUUAUAAUAAUGAAAGUUAUUCAGCAAGAGAGUUUUUGCACAAGUUUAAUUUCAGUAAAAUUGUGUAUAUUAUGCACUGAGGAACUUAGUAUGUAACUCAUUAUGAUUAUCCAUUUCUUUAGAGGAUGUAUUUGGAGUAUAUUUAAAUAAUCAUUAUCUUCUAGAAAAGAGCACACAAAACCUCUCUCUGAAGCAUGACACAUGUGCAUACACUCGAGCAUUUACCACAACCACAGUUACAUAUUUUCCAGGGCGUGUGAAGUCGAGCACACACAUUAAAAUGUGUGAAGCUGGACACAUAUGCAAACACACAAGCAUCUACCACAACCAAUUACAUAUUUUCCAAGGCGUGUGAAGUCAAGCACAUACAUGAAAAUGUGUGAAGCUGGACACAUAUGCAAAAACACAAGCAUCUACCACAACCAAUUACAUAUUUUCCAAGGCGUGUGAAGUCGAGCACAUACAUGAAAAUGUGUGAAGCUGGACACAUAUGCAAAAACACAAGCAUCUACCACAACCAAUUACAUAUUUUCCAAGGCGUGUGAAGUCGAGCACAUACAUGAAAAUGUGUGAAGCUGGACACAUACGCAAACACACAAGCAUCUACCACAACCAAUUACAUAUUUUCCAAGGCGUGUGAAGUCGAGC